UUGCUGACCUCUUCACCAAAGCUCUCGGUUCCCAUCAAUUCUCGUUUCUUGUUGACAAGUUGGGCAUCUGUAACCUCCAUGCUCCAACUUGAGGGGGCAUAUUAGCAAGUCAACUGUCAAUCUUUAUUUUUCAUAUUUAACAUCCUUGGUUUACUGCUUGAUUUGUAUUGAUUUAUAUCCUAUUUUAGUUUCCUUGAUUUAAGAUAGUUUCCUUGAUUUAAGAGCUAAUUGAAGCUUCUUCUUGUAUAUAAAAAUAUCAUUC
rnacentral:lncRNA from 1 species